CUCAUCAAGAGCAGUGGAGGGACUGGCCCUGUGAAGCUGCGGCAACCGUUGACGGAUGUCAAAAAGGUGCCAAUUCCUGUAGGUUCUGCCU
rnacentral:ncRNA from 1 species